rnacentral:rRNA from 1 species
AGUGAACGCUGGCGGUAGGCCUAACACAUGCAAGUCGAACGGCAGCACAGUAAGAGCUUGCUCUUACGGGUGGCGAGUGGCGGACGGGUGAGGAAUACAUCGGAAUCUACUUUUUCGUGGGGGAUAACGUAGGGAAACUUACGCUAAUACCGCAUACGACCUACGGGUGAAAGCAGGGGAUCUUCGGACCUUGCGCGAUUGAAUGAGCCGAUGUCGGAUUAGCUAGUUGGCGGGGUAAAGGCCCACCAAGGCGACGAUCCGUAGCUGGUCUGAGAGGAUGAUCAGCCACACUGGAACUGAGACACGGUCCAGACUCCUACGGGAGGCAGCAGUGGGAAAUAUUGGACAAAGGGCGCAAGCCUGAUCCAGCCAUACCGCGUGGGUGAAGAAGGCCUUCGGGUUGUAAAGCCCUUUUGUUGGGAAAGAAAAGCAGCAGGUUAAUACCCCGCUGUUCUGACGGUACCCAAAGAAUAAGCACCGGCUAACUUCGUG